CGAAUUCCACUUCCUCAUUUUCUUAAUUGGAAAACAUUGAAGAGAAUUGAAAUGUGAAUUUCAGUGUACUUCCUGAAUUUAAAUGGAAUUGACCUCAAUCCUGCUCUAGGUUGGAUUUACCUUUGCGUCAGAUAGUUGACAAGAAGUAAAAAAAGACCUCAUAAGUAUCUCCCCUUCCUUUAUCUUCUCUGUCUCAUCUGCGUUGAGCUAGAAGGAGAACCUGCACUAUAACCUCAUUAGACGGGUGGGGGAGGGAGUGCUGAUGUUAGCCAUUAGAAUCAUGAAUGGAAUAACAGAUGAAUGAUUGAUAAUAGUUAAUCAUUAAUAUAACCUAAACAUAGGUCUCCCUUCUUAAAGAGAACACACCCCUGAUACACACACAACUCACACAACACACACACACACACACACACACACACACACACACACACACACACACACACACACACACACACACACACACACACACACACACACACACACGCACAAAACGAGGAAGGAUUUGCCAAUUCUCUUAAAAUAAUCUGUUUGAUUUAUUAAUCUUGUAUUGAAACACAGGAUUCAGUCAGGCAACAACAUUCUAAUAGUCAACAGGUCAACAUUCUAAUAGUCAACAGAUCAACAUUCCAAUGGUCAACAGAUCAACAUUCCAAUGGUCAACAGGUCAACAUUCUAAUAGUCAACAGGUCAACAUUCUAAUAGUCAACAGGUCAACAUUCCAAUGGUCAACAAGUCAACAUUCUAAUAGUCAACAGAUCAACAGGUCAACAUUCCAAUGGUCAACAGGUCAACACUCUAAUAGUCAACAGGUCAACACUCUAAUAGUCAACAGGUCAACACUCUAAUAGUCAACAGGUCAACAUUCUAAUAGUCAACAAGUCAACAUUCCAAUGGUCAACAAGUCAACAUUCUAAUAGUCAACAGGUCAACAUUCCAAUGGUCAACAAGUCAACAUUCCAAUGGUCAACAGGUCAACAUUCCAAUGGUCAACAAGUCAACAUUCUAAUAGUCAACAGGUCAACAUUCUAAUAGUCAACAGAUCAACAUUCUAAUAGUCAACAGGUCAACAUUCUAAUAGUCAACAGGUCAACAUUCCAAUGGUCAACAGGUCAACAUUCUAAUAGUCAACAGGUCAACAUUCCAAUGGUCAACAUUCUAAUAGUCAACAGGUCAACAUUCUAAUAGUCAACAGGUCAACAUUCUAAUAGUCAACAGAUCAACAUUCUAAUAGUCAACAGGUCAACAUUCUAAUAGUCAACAGGUCAACAUUCCAAUGGUCAACAGGUCAACAUUCUAAUAGUCAACAGGUCAACAUUCCAAUGGUCAACAUUCUAAUAGUCAACAGGUCAACAUUCUAAUAGUCAACAGGUCAACAUUCUAAUAGUCAACAGGUCAACAUUCUAAUAGUCAACAGGUCAACAUUCUAAUAGUCAACAGGUCAACAUUCUAAUAGUCAACAGGUCAACAUUCCAAUGAUCAACAGGUCAACAUUCCAAUGGUCAACAGGUCAACAUUUUAAUAGUCAAUAGGAGUCAACAUUCUAAUAGUCAACAGGUCAACAUUCUAAUAGUCAACAGGUCAACAUUCUAAUAGUCAACAGGUCAACACUCUAAUAGUCAAUAGAUCAACAGGUCAACAUUCUAAUAGUCAACAGGUCAACAUUCUAAUAGUCAACAGGAGUCAACAGGUCAACACUUAUAGUCAACAGGUCAACACUCUUAUAGUCAACAGGUCAACACUCUUAUAGUCAACAGGUCAACACUUAUAGUCAACAGGUCAAUACUCUUAUAGUCAACAGGUCAACACUCUUAUAGUCAACAGGUCAACACUUAUAGUCAACAGGUCAAUACUCUUAUAGUCAACAGGUCAACACACACACCACUGUGGUAACACACUCCAGGAGUCACAUCUCCUCCUAACACAGUACAAGUUAGUCAGGACAUUACUCAACAUGGAGAGAGUGUGUAUGAGUUAGCCUGUGUGUGUGAGAUGGUGUGUAAUGUUUCUGUCUGGUUUCUUAUUCUAGACCAGUCUGACAUCACACGUGAGGUUUUACUUCCAGAGAAAAAUUAAAUAAUAUGCACAUA